AAAUAGCCUUGGUAGGUUUGGUAUUGAGGAUGAGACGGCGGGUAGGUUGUUGCAUAACCAGGUGGCGGCGGCGGAGAGUAGCCUUCGUAACCAGGUGGCGGUGGAGGAGGGUAGCUUUCGUAACCAGGUGGCGGUGGUGCUGAUGGGUAACCCGGUGGAAGUUGUGUUACCGGGUAACCCUGUGGUGGUGGGUAAAGAGAUCCGUAUCCCGGUGGAGGAUAAGGAGGGUCUUGAGGGGCUCUCUGGUAAUUGUUACUCAUUUUGUGGAAAUAAGAAUGGGGAGAAGGGUUCAGGCAAGGGAAGGGAAGAAAUGGG
rnacentral:lncRNA from 1 species